rnacentral:lncRNA from 1 species
GCAGAGAUACAAAAGAAGAAACUGUUGUAGUUAUUCAGAGAGGGGUGUGUGUCAGAGCAAUUAUUGUCUGGCUCAUGUACUUACUGCCUGUGACUACAACCCUGAAGGGUAUGUGUAUUAAUCCCACUUUUGCUGAUGAAGAAACUGAGGUUCAAAGAAAUGAAUGAACUACUCAGUCACAAAACUGUAAGUGACCAAGUUGGAGUUGAAAUACUGGUCUGUUUGGCUCCAGUUUAAUCUCUUGCUACAAUACCACAAUACUGUUUCUCUGGUUCUGACUUUAUUAUUUGCCCCCAAAUGCAUCAACAGGAGUAGGGAAUAAUCAUGGGAUUUCUCUUAGGUUCUGUAGUUACACUGCAGGAAGAAAACACAUUUAGUAUAAUCAUCUCAAGACGCCAAGAGCAAGAAUUACUGCCUCCAGAUAAAUUCCUAAACGUAGAAUUACUCAGUGAACUUGUCUGCACAUUUUCUUAAACUUUUAGUGUUUAUCAGCAAAUUGCCCUUUAAAUAAGCUGUACUUACUAAGUAACUUAAUUCCCAGCAGAUUAUGAGUUACCUCUUUCCUGUACUACUACUACUAAUGAUAAUAAUACUUCUAUAGUGGAUACUAUGAGCAGGAAACUUGUAGGUGCUUAAAAUACGUUAAUUUAUUUGAUUAUCAAAAUAGUCCAUCAUUUUAUAAAUGAAGAAUACUGAAGUACAGAAAAGUUAAGUUAUUUGCCAAAGUCAUGCAGUUUACAAUCAGAGGUAAUAGAACCAGGAUUUGAACUUAGGCAGUCUUUAUUGACUAUGUCUAGAUUGGAUAUUAUAUUGGUCUUUUAAAUUUUAUAGACAAAAAGUAUUUCACAGUUACUUUAAUUUGUAUUUUUUUAUUUAAAGGAGAUAACAUAUUUUUUCUUCCUUUUCUCCCUUUCUUCCUUCUUUCCUUUUUCUUUUCAUUCUGACUUUUUUUUUCUUUUGUAAGAUACUGGUUAACAUCCUUUGCCUAUUUUUCCCUUGGAG